UACUGAGAUACUUCAUGUUCAAAAAUACCAGCGUUUCAACGGCGUUCAAUUCUUCCAUGUUGCACCAUCCAAAGUACUUUUUUUUGCGAAUUUAUUUACGACAAACUUGGCUUACGUAAACUUUGGGGUAGCAAAAUUCAUAUCGCCGCAGAACAGUUUGCAAGAACAAAUAUAAACCUAAAGAGGUACGGGUGAACAAAUAGGUAUUCGAAUUAGGAAAUGAAAAGUUCGAAGCUGAAGGAAGCUUAAUUACGAAGACAGAAUCAAAUAAAGAUAACUUCCUCCAGUAUAGUUUUCAUUUUUCCGAACGUCCAUAUCGUCUUUGCCUCUGCACCAUUAAAUUCGAAUUUUUUCAACGAUUUUCAAAGCUCACUAUACCAUAUAACGUAAUCUGAAGAAAGAAAGUUCCACUGAUGCAUGGACGCUAUUUAGGUUUUUGCCCUUUAUCUUUCAUCUGAUCUUACAAAGUCGCUUGAACCACGCUAUCCUAUAUACCGAAGCAAAGGCCAACGAAAACAACUACGUUAAUACCUGCUAUAUUGACUAAAAGAAUGAUAUUUCACUUGGCAGCAUUCGUUAGCUUUAGCUAG